CAAUAGGAGGCGCGUUCCUGACAGAAAUACUAAAGUAGUGUGUCAAUCAAUAAACUGGGCUACCGAUCCCACUGUCAGACACCGAGCGAUCUGCUCUUUUAAGGGCGUUUUACUUUUAUAUAUUUAUAUAUUAGAGAGAUAUAGGCUAUGGCUGUCAAUGCGCGGUAUCUUCACACAGACACACUAGGGCUGAGCUCAUAUUGGGGGUUUUAAUAAGCCCGGCGACCACCAUGGAAGUCAGCCUUUUCUCUGCCUGAACAGUGAGCUGCAUCUGAACGCUUCCCCUUCUGCACCACUGACCCUGAUGAAAGCAAUGUUCACUCCCUGCCAGCGCUGCAAUUUCCCCAUACAACACACAGACCUACAAGGUGUGACUUUCAGAGGGGUGUUGGUUGCGGCGUGUGAAUCUGAAGGGCGAGAGGGUGGAUCACGAGGGGCCUGGAUCAUCAGGACACACACACACUCCCUCUGUGACAUCCAAGAGGGUCCGCAUCGCCAAGAACUCCAACCAGUCGAUGGCCCAGCAUGCUCUGCUCUCCACACCCUCGCAGCACGCCUGAAAUCACAGCCCUCCUGCAUCGCCUCAAACUGACAAAUGACGUAAUGUGCAGAAUCAAGCACCGGCCUUCGGAUGAAAAGAAACAUGUCCGCCACUGUCCCCAUCGGAAUGGAGAGGAGGUAUUGGACAUGUGCGUGAGACGCUAGGUAUUUUUGACCUGACAUCUCCUUCUGAAAGCGGUACACACACACACACACUAAUUAAAUACCUCUUUUUAGUUACUUAGUAGAGUGCUUGCUUUGUACAGGACUUUCCCAUUAACUUCCAUUCAUGAAGUUUGUUAGAUACUUCUAACUAUGUACCUGCCUGUGAUUGGCUCAUCUGUGUCUUAUCACCAGCAGGAAACGACCUCACUUCCUUCAGGAAUGACUUCAUGCGAAAUUAUGUGCCGCCACAGUGUCUCUCGGUUUUACUGCGUCUUCUCAGUGUGUAAACAGUCCAGUUUAGCCCAGUGUCACCAAGCUCUCAGACACAGGGAUACACACAUUCAUUCACACAGGCCUGAGGGCACUGACCUUCUCAAAAGAGCUGGAAGGAAACUGGUAGGGUUAGGACUAAAUAUGACCGGAGGAGGGUUCAAAAAGGACAGGUAGGCCAAACAGAUACUGAUACAGGUACAGAUAAAGAUGCACUAGUUAUAGAUGAUUAAUAUGGAUCAGCAUCAGAUCUGAUGAUUAGAUAAAAGGUUCCGUGUUUAUUUCAUCAUCUGUUCUUGUGAAGCGUUGUUUGGCCUACUGCCCUGCUCUUUUGUGUUUACGAGUUAAGCGGCUUGUUUUUCUGGCUGGCAGCCGUGUUGAAUGAAGGAAGUUGUUUCCGUAUGACUCCUUACACCAUUCCUCACAGCCUCUCUGUCUCUGUCAGCCACCGGAAUAAAUCGGGUGAUUCAUGACUGCUGGAUCAUCAGUCACCCAACGAAAAAGGCCUCUCCUGCACAUAGCGUGCAUGUGUUGUGUGUUUGUGUGUAUGUGCGUAUAUAUAUAUGUGUGUGUGUGUGUGUGUCUGUGCACUUCAAGACGUAGAGCAUGCAAUAAAUCUCUCCUUUUUAGCGUCGGGAGUGCAUGAGUGUGUCUGUAAGCCGGAGUGGCCCGAGGCUCUGCUCACUGGAACAAUGCAGAGAUCAAAGCCCAGAGCACUGACAGGUGAUGAGUGGCUUCCCGUGGCCGGAGCGCCGCAGCCAGGCUCACACCUGUACCAGGUGAUUACAGGUAGAUCUGCCUGCCUCUAAUUGGACAAUAAAUGCUGCUCUCAGCUCGCUAAUGGCAGCAGUCUGCCUCAGAGACGCCACACUGCCAUUUGGACGUCGCCAGUCCUACCUGAGCCUCUCCCUCUCUCUCUCUCUCUCUCUCUCUCUCGCUCUAUCUGUCUCUCUCCCACAGCUGAGAUGAUGACCUAGUCAAGGUCUAUUCAGAACAAACAACAAGACAAAUUACAAUCCAAGCCUUUAAUGUAAGUGUCAGAGAAAAACAAAGAGUGCAAGAGAGAGAGGGAGAGAGAGAGAAGUGGAGUCUCCUAUACUGCCUCGCUCGAACUGACUUAAUAAAAGAUUUAUUGUAUAUCUGACUUAGGGACAGUCUGCGCAAGUAAAAGUCUUGGGGAAAUUAUUUCACUUAAUACACUUACUGCACAUUAAAGUAGUAUCAGCAACCAGUUAAUCAGACGUUACAGGCUUGAUAAGGCUUAAUAAUAGCAUGCUAAUUAGUUUUUGUGUAAUGUAAAUACUAGAAUGUAUAAUAAUAAUAAUAAUAAUAAUAAUAAUAAUAAUAAUAAAAAAGUCAAUCAGCAACUAGUUAAUUUGCAGAUACUGAAUUGAUGAAGUUUAACAAGGACAUUUGAAAUGUACUGUGCUGUGUAAUAAACAAAUAAAAAGUCAUUUGGAAAAUGCUACAUUCCCCCAAUUUAUGAGUUCAAAAUAUUCCUCCCUGACUGAUAAUUAAUUAAUAAAGGUAUAAUACCAGCUUCUAAAAAAGUAAAAAAUAUACUAAAAUUCAAAGAUUCAUAAAAAAAUAGUUAUCAGAAUAUUAAUAGCUACAUGUUUCAUUUAUUACUGGUAUAAUAACAGGCUUUAAAAUAUUAUACAAAUGUCCAUAUAAUACCCUAAAAAAAGUAAUCUGGAAAAAGCCUACUGAAGAGCAGACAAUUAACUAACAGCUACAGCUUUCCUAAUGCUUAAUACUUAAUUAUCAAUCUGCUGACAUAAUAAUGCUUAAUAAAGGCAUAUAUAAAAACAAAUUGGUAAAAUAUUGUAAAGAAGAUUAUGAUUCGUACAACCCAAAUAAAACUUAUCUAGAAGUGGCUAAAUUCACAACAUUUGUGGUUUAGCAAAAUAGUAAUUAUUAGUCAGAUAAGUAGCAGCUACAGGUUUCACACAUUUUAUUUUAGGGUAUAAUAACACUUUCUUAAUAUAUUGUACAACUAAUUUUUUUUAUUUUAAAUAUAAAAAUGUUUUAUCAGUGUUGAAAUCCUAUGUCUUGCUUGCUCACACACAUUUUUCUGGAAUGUGCAUGAAGCCUGAAACCUCCUUCUCUGUUUUGUGUGUUAGUCUUUGUAGAUGCCUGAUAGUCUUCUGCAUCCUGUAGUACCAAAAAAUUGGAGGAUUAUGACAUACAGCCUUUAUGGAAACACUCAGUGGAAAAAAACACCCGGCUCUGCUGAGACUUGAACCUUGAUCCCAGCAUAAAGGUGCAUGUUCAGUUGAUAAAGGUGAUUCAAAUGGUUCUUUGAGUGAUGCCAGAGAAGAAUAAACUAAAUUCCAAGAAAUAUAGCAUAUAGAAGGUCUAAAGAACCUUCACUUCUUCAUGCUCACAUUUAAGUAAAUCAGUAAAUCAUAAACAUGAUUCUUCAAUGACCAUAGAACCAUGUGUAAUGUCUGUGUUAAAGAACAAGGUGUUUAAUACUGUUCUAGGUACCAUUUUAGGAAAAAUACAAUUGUAUCAUUAUUGUAACUUACUUUUUUAUUUGUGUACAGAGUUGUGAAUUAACUAUCAUCUAAAAAAUGUUUUAGAAUUACAGAAAUAAGUCAAAAUAAAAAUGAACUUCUCUUAA